CUCAAGUGGUAACCAAGGAGGUGGGCUCAGAGUACAUGGACAUGCGGAUUGCAGCACUGCUCUUCUGAACUUGGCAUUCUCUCUAGCCUGCUGUGGGAUGGCGUAGUGGGAAGAGAAGGAAGUGAAUGGACAUCUCAUGCGAGAAGACCGACCUACCGUCCACCGAAGUGUGGAAGACUGAAAUUGCCACUAGGUGUACCUUGAUAGAUGUGAGCGCCAGACCCUGUUGCUUAAGAUGGAGCAAGUAUUCCAGCACAGCUGGAGGGAUGACUGAGUUGGCGAGAGACCUCGUUGAGAAGACCACACCAAGAAACGCUUCCAUUUGGCUAGGUCUACCUGGGGAGACCUCCACCUCUGGAAGAUGGAUCUCGUCACCUCUGGGUGAAGGGACCAUUCAUGAUGACAGGAAAAAGACCUGCUGACGUGAUCUGCGAGGGUAUUCCAGGCUCCUGGAAGAUGGCAAGACUUGAGGUGAAUUGAGUGUUUCAUACAGAAGUCCCACAGAUCAAUGGCCUCCUCGCACAGGGUAAAGAAUCAUGCUCCUCCCUCUCUGUUGAUGUAAAACAUGGCUGCCAUAUUGUCCAUAAGCACUCGCACAACUUUGUCCGUGAUCUGGGAAAGGAACACUUGGCAAGCUAAGCGGACUCUGAGCUCUCUGACAUUUAUACGUAAGGAGAGCUCUUCCAGGAACCACAGGCCCUGAGUCGAGCUUCCCAACCUAGAUCGGAUGCAUCUGAAAUGAAAGAUACUGAAGGCUAGGGGGAGGGGUUUGUAAGAAGGAAAGGCCUGCAGCCACCGAUCGGGGAUCCUUCACCAGUCAAGGGAGACGAGGACUGGGGCGGGAACUGUAAGCACUGGGCCAACCAAGCAUGCAGGGGUCUGAGGUGUGGCCUUGUGUGCCGUACCAUGUAAGUGCACACAGCCAUGUGUCCCAAAAGUUUGAGGGAAAAUGGGGCUGUCGUUAUGGGGUGGGCCUUAACCUUGGAUAUCAGAACCGAUAUUGUCUGGAAUCGAGCUUCUGGAAGGAAGGCUCUGUCCUGGGUCGAGUCUAGUACUGCUUUGAUAAACUCUAUUCUCUGGAUGGGAAUGAGAGUCGACUUUUGCUGGUUUAACAGCAGGCCCAGUGCACUGAAGGUGGCUUGGACCAGGCUGAUGCUGUUCUUCAGUUGAGCCUCUGAACGGCACUUGAUCAGCCAGUUGUCGGGGUACAGGUUAACUCUGACACCUUGCCUUCUGAAGAAGGCCACUACCACCACCAUUCUGUGAAAACCUGAGAGGCUGCUGACAGACCACAGGGGAGGACAGUGAAUUGGUAAUCGGUUUGGU